rnacentral:rRNA from 1 species
UACGAAGGGGGCUAGCGUUGCUCGGAAUCACUGGGCGUAAAGGGUGCGUAGGCGGGUCUUAAGUCAGGGGUGAAAUCCUGGAGCUCAACUCCAGAACUGCCUUUGAUACUGAGGAUCUUGAGUUCGGGAGAGGUGAGUGGAACUGCGAGUUGUAGAGGUGAAAUUCGUAGAUAUUCGCAAGAACACCAGUGGCGAAGGCGGCUCACUGGCCCGAUACUGACGCUGAGGCACGAAAGCGUGGGGAGCAAACAGG